GCACUCAACUUGGGUGCGAUCUAAAAGCAGACCCCUGUGAGCCCUUGAAGACCCAUUUUCCACAUCCAGUAACCAAGGACAAUGUUUUUGUUAUGAUGGACGCUUGCCACAUGCUGAAGCUGACACGCAAUAUGUUGCAGGCAUACAGCCCCAUUGGAAGCAUACAUGGCAGUAUCAAUUGGAAGUACAUAGUCCAUCUGAACAAUGUCCAAAAGAAAAGUGGACUACAUGCUGCCAAUAGAGUCACAGAUAAGCAUGUGAACUUUUCUAAUCAGAAGAUGAAGGUCUCCCUGGCUGCUCAGACUUUGAGUAGCUCUGUGGCAGUGGCGCUCUGCACGUUGCAGGAGUUGGGCUAUGCAGAGUUCAAAGAUUGUGAGGCUACUGCAGAAUUCAUAAAGGUAAUGCAGCAAGGGAUUUGCAUUGUUG